GUGGCGUAAGGGUGAGUAACGCGUGGGCAAUCUACCUCUAAGUUGGGGAUAACUCGCCGAAAGGUGAGCUAACACCGAAUGUGGUCCGCUCUCAUAAGAGGGACGGAUUAAAGACGGGGAUCCUUCGGGACCUGUCGCUUGGAGAGGAGCCUGCGUGCCAUCAGCUAGUUGGUGAGGUAACGGCUCACCAAGGCUUACGGCUAGCUGGUCUGAGAGGAUGACCAGCCACACUGGGACUGAGACACUGCCCAGACUCCUACGGGAGGCUGCAGUCGAGGAUCUUGGACAAUGGGGGCAACCCUGAUCCAGCGACGCUGCGUGGAGGAUGAAGGCCUUCGGGUUGUAAACUCCUGUCAUUCGGGAAAAACGGCUCCGGGAUUAAUACUCCCGGGGAGUGAUGGUACCGGAAGAGGAAGCCACGGCUAACUCCGUGCCAGCAGCCGCGGUAAUACAGAGGUGGCAAGCGUUGUUCGGAUUUACUGGGCGUAAAGGGUGCGUAGGUGGUCUCCUAUGUCGAGUGUGAAAUCCCAAGGCUCAACCUUGGAAUUGCGCUCGAAACUGGGAGACUUGAGUGCAGGAGGGGAGAGCGGAAUUCUUGGUGUAGCGGUGAAAUGCGUUGAUAUCAAGAAGAACACCGGUGGCGAAGGCGGCUCUCUGGAAUGCUACUGACACUGAGGCACGAAAGCUGGGGGAGCAAACAGGAUUAGAUACCCUGGUAGUCCCAGCUGUAAACGGUGCACACUUGGUGUGGGAGGAAUUGACCCCUUCCGUGCCGGAGCUAACGCGUUAAGUGUGCCGCCUGGGGAGUACGGUCGCAAGACUAAAACUCAAAGAAAUUGACGGGGGCCCGCACAAGCGGAGGAGCAUGUGGCUCAAUUCGAUGCAACGCGAAGAACCUUACCAGGGCUUGACAUGCAGCUGCACGUCCCGUGAAAGCGGGAUUCCUUCGAGGGUGCUGCACAGGUGCUGCAUGGCUGUCGUCAGUUCGUGCCGUGAGGUGUUGGGUUAAGUCCCGCAACGAACGCAACCCCUGUGUUUAGUUGCUACCAGGUAAAGCUGGGCACUCUAAACAGACUGCCUGUACAAAACAGGAGGAAGGUGGGGACGACGUCAAGUCAGUAUGGCCCUUACGCCCUGGGCUGCACACGUGCUACAAUGGCCGGUACAAAGGGAAGCAAGACCGCGAGGUGGAGCAAAACCUGU
rnacentral:rRNA from 1 species